AACAAAGGACAAGUGGUUUAAAACAGAACUACCACUGUCCAGGAAGGAUCCUGGAAGGUUUCCUAAAACCUGAAUAGAUGAACUGCUGCCACAGAGGAUCAGCCUGUGGCCUCAGUAUCUGUUCAAUGUGUUCAAAUAUAAGCAGAAACAUGAAGUUAUGGAAUGUUACAGAAACACUAACAAAGCUGCACUUAAUAUACCAAAACAUUUAAAUCAGCAAUGAGCAGCUUUGUUGUGUGAGGUAAUAACAGAGGAAGAUAUAAAUGUAUUUACAGAGAAUCCAGGUACAGGUACUGGAAGCAGAACCCACUGGAGACUGGCUGCAUUGUCCUGUAAAAAGAUAUCAAUAACUGAAUAUGAAAUGCUCAAACUCCACUACAAAAGCAAAACGUUUUAACAAAUGAUCCAUGGGUUUGUGGAUGAUGGUGGAAACCAUGUGGUAAUGAUGUGACUGUCUGCAGCAAACACACUCUGUUCUCUGUAACAGGUAGAUAGUUAACUAUACUAUCUAAUAACAGGUAGAUAGUUAACUAUGCUAUCUAAUAACAGGUAGAUAGUUAACUAUGCUAUCUAAUAACAGGUAGAUAGUUAACUAUACUAUCUAAUAACAGGUAGAUAGUUAACUAUGCUAUCUAAUAACAGGUAGAUAGUUAACUAUGUGUGGCCGGAUGGUUUCUCCCUCCUAGCCACUGUGUGGCACUGUGCUAUUUCAAUCGUCGCUGUGACAGCGGGGUGGUAUCCGGCGCCGCUGCAUAUAUAUACACAGGUGGGUGGUUUCACCUCAGUCUCAUGCUUUCUCUUGAGCUCUCCCCGUGGUGGUAACUGCAGCCAAGCGGGCUGGAUCUGGCGUGAUCAAUCGGGACGCACAUCAUAUCAUCGGUACAGUGACGCUGGGAGACGGGUCGCUCUGUUCAGCGUGCCGUGGGUGCUUCUGUGACGACAGGGUUUGGUGAGCCUCGGCGGCAGUUUAAUCCCUGGUGGUGGUUCACGGAUCCCUUUUCGUUGGUGUGUUGUCACAGGUGUGAUUAUUUGGACCCCCUUUUUUCUUCCUUUUGGUUAUUUGUUUGCCUGCCGCCAUGGUAAGCCAGCCUGCUCCCUUUAUUGUUUAAGUUUAGUACUCCUGAUUCUCUUUUAAACUGGUGGCUUGCUUUUUAUAUUUAAUGCCAUAAUUAAUAAAGAAAUUGUUGUAUUUUUGGAAA